CCUAACGCCUGGGACAUAACUAAAUCAGUAACCGCUAAGUGAAUUAUCCUCUAAUAUCAGGGCGUCGUUACAUAUACCACACAACAUAGGAAAUGACACACAUAGCGCCCACAUGUCUUAUAUCCUGUUACAGCUCUCCACCUGCUUCUGUCAAAAGAACGCUAUUGUCGGACUCACGUUAUUGAAUCGCCAGCAGGUCUUAGUCAUAGUGACCACUAGCAGACUCGUGGCUUACCCUGUGAGGCUUGGUUACCAGGUGGGUUGGAGUGAGGGUGCUCUUCAGGGCUGUGCCAGGUAAAGGAAAGGGGGAAAACCAGGGAGUGUGACUUCAUCUUUUACAGAAGAAAUUGUGGUGAAUAAGCGGAUUAGCACUUUGAAUUGACUGCUAUAGGAUACAAAAAGCCAAUGUAAGAACUGACAGAGGGGAGAGGUAUGAGAGGAGACAGGAGAGGAAAAUCAGUCUAGUGGCAGCAUUCAUUACAGACUGUAGCGGGGCAGUACGACUUCUGGGAAUUAGGAGAGAGAUACA